AAUUACAAAUUAAAAUUGGGAAAUGGGUAGGGGAUGGGGAUUCCACCUUAUUCCCGUCCCCUCCCUGAAUAAGAAAUUGGAUAAAAAAAUUUCUUCAUCCCUUCCCCGAAUAAGAAAUUGGGUAUGAAAUUAUUCUCAUACCCUCUCCGAAUGGGAAAAAUCCCCGAGAGUACCGUCCCUGUGGAGAUUUUUGCCAUCCUUAAAUGAGGUAAUAUGCACAUUAACAUUAGUAUUCCAGAGCAUCACCAACCCACCUCCUUUGCCAUUUCUAUUAACUACAAGAAAGCUUUCAACCUUUAACUUCUUGCUUAAUUUUGACAUUUCUAUUAACUACAAGAUAGUUUUCAACCUUCAGCUUCUUGCUUAAUUCUGACAUUUGUUUAGCUAUUAAUUUUGUUUCGCACACAAAUAAAAUUUGCAGCCUAUGUUGUUGGAGAAUUUUUUGUAAAGCUAGGAACGUUCGGGAAUUUCUUAAGCCCCGAACGUUCCAACUGAGGAUUUUCAUGGCUAUCGGUGGGGCUAGCCAUCAACCUUCGCCACUAUAUCAGCAAUUACUAGGAUUGACACCUCAAUUUCCUCUACUAACUCUUAUUUUCAUUUCAGAUUGAGCUUUGUUGAAGGUGAGUGAUACUGUAUUUACUUUUAUAUUGGUUUAACAAGGCUGACUAUUUUGAUUCUUUUCUGGUUUGGGCCUAACCCAUUUUGCUCAUGAUAACGCCUUUUAGUUAAACAUGUCUCCUAUUUAGUUACACCCUUCUCACUUUUGGUCCAGGCUUGACGCUUCUAAUUCCUUCCUUUGGGUUUUAAACAAAUUAACUCUGGCCCCUAUUGUCUACUGCUUCUUCUUCUUCUCUACUGUUUUGGGUUGCAUGCUUUUGCUCCAAGCCCACAAUAGCCAAAUUCCCUUCCGCGGCUAAUUUUUCACUUUCCCUCCCAUUUUCACUUGCUUUUUCCACUUCACUAUUAAGCAGUUUGAGAGGCUUCUCAUUGCCAGCUGCCGCAAAUAGCUUUUUGCAGCCUAUUGGCUGCUUUCUUGAUUCUAGCCAGCUAGGCAUUAGUUGAUCUUCACCUCCCGCCCUAAAUAACUGCCACGUGUGUAUCCUUUUGGUAUGAGCUUGGAUAUAUUUUGGUUACAUUGGCCCUUCUACCCUCUCUCAUUAUUUCAUUUGCCUGCAUCCACGCCCCAUAAGCAAGUUUGUUCAUUGGUUGCCCUUUAUACUUAUCACAUUCCUUAUAUGGAUACCCUAUAAGUCUACAGCAGAAACAUAAAUAUGGUAGUCUCUUAUAAACUACUAAGAUCGGGAUGUCUUCUUCCCCUUUAUGCUCUAAAUAAUUUUUUUUUUCAACGGUUAUGUGAUAUCAAUUGAGAUCUGGCAUAUUAACCAAUGCACUGCCCUUCUUCAUCUGCAUCAAUUUCUUUUACUAUACCAAUGGUUUCCCCUAGAAUUCUAAUUGUUUCCUGUUCCACACAUCCAACUGGGACAUUGUGGAAUUGCACCCAAAAAGUUGAGUGCGUGGAUGAUUGCUUUGUUAUUUGUUAUGCCACUUGGCUCUUUUAGAACUAUCAACGCUCAUUCAAAAUGCCAAGGCCCUCCUAAUAAAACUCUUCUCUUAUAUGCUUUGGAGGCAAAUUUGAACAGGAAUGUCUUACUUCCUAAGCUUUCAACUUUGAACCCCUCGGUUAUUCUCCAUACUUUUUGUAGCACUGACCUAAGACCCUCCCUAUUAACUCCUCUUGGAUGCAAAACUUUUCCCAGCAGACAUCCAGCCACUAGCUUUCUCCCUUUUACAUUUCAUGAUAUCUCCAAUGGCGACUUUACUCUUCUUACCUUCCUCUAACGUAAUUGCUUUCCACUUAUGAAUUAGUUUCUCUGUUUCCAUGAGGCCCUGAUUUUAAAGACUACUAUAUUAACUCCUUGACUACCUACUACUCACUUUGUAGAUAGAAGCUCACCAUCUCUGUUAAAUAACUCAAACUAAAAACAAGGCGCAAUUCGUGAGCGAUUUCUCCGCCCAAUGGGCUACUAUCCUUCCAUUCUAAGUUCUCUUUUAGAGAAAGAGGACCCGUGAAGAAAGACUAAGAAAGGUAACUUUUAUUUCCUACGAAAGUUGGGAAAUGCCCUCACUUUGCUAGAAACCACUCACCUGCUCCCUUAGAGGCAAAUAAUUUGAAAAAGGAGGCAUUUGAUAAAUUUAAGGUAGAUUUGGGUGAGUACGAUUUAGAUAUUUUCGGUAAAAGCCAUGUUUUUUAUGUAGUCUAUUAAAAUAUUUCCAAAAAUUUCACAUUUUGAAAAUUUCCUAAGCAUUAAAUUAUAUUUUUCAUUUUCAGGUGUUAGGAAUGAAUUUGAAUUUAAUGCUGAUCUUUUUAUAACCUUCUAUCAUGUAUCAAGUAAUAUUGGAGUAUUCUAUAAUUAAAAUUUAAUUAAUUAUUUCUCAUCCAAUAACUACUAAUCACAAUAUUAUAAACAAAACUUAACACAAAGCGCACAAAAUCUAAAUCCGUAUACAACUAUUAAGUAGUAUCACUUAUUUAAAAAGAAUAAAGGUUAAUAAUAAGUCUUAGGUGUUAAAAAAAAUCAAUAAAUAGUUGUAACGUAAAAACAUAUUUACUCUAUACAAUAAAAGUGAUUAAUUGUGAGGUUAAAAUUCUUAUGAAUAUCAAUAAAAUAACAUUUUCUAGCGUCUAAUUGAAUUUAAGAAGAAACUGUAGCUUGUGAAGGUAAUAAAAAGUUUUAAGUGAAUAGAUUAGUAACGUUAGAACUUGGUAAUGAUAAUUAAAAUAACGAAAUAUCCCUGAGAUCCAUCAAAAUACAGACUAUAUUGAGUUGCAAAGCUGAAGAAUAAAAUUAGAAUGGAUUGUGUCUAAGGUGGACAGUGUUUACUUACCUCGCAUUGGAGGUUUACAGUAUGUUUAAUUGCACUAAUUUGAACGGAUUAGCUAUUAGAUCAUAAUUAUAACUUUGAAAAAAAAAAUUAUUCUCAAAUAAUUUAUUCAGGUUGGUUUUGGUAUUUUAUCAAAUCCAACGGUGGUAUUAAAUUAAUUUUAGGCUUCGGUUAUUUCAACUUAAAUUUUUCAUAAAUUUUGAGUCAUUGGUUUAAUGCAAUGUAAUGGUAGAUAAAUUAACAUCAUUGAAUGCUAUUUGAUUUUUCAGUAUCUACCAUUGGAUUGCAUGAAAUUAAUGACUUAAAAUUUUUGUUAAAUUAUUAAAAUAAAAAUUCACGAAUUUUCAAUAUCUAUCAUUUAAUUUGCAUCAUUACAAACCACUGUAAUUAUUAUUUUGUUUGAUAAAAAUUAUUACAAACCAAUCAUGAAAUCACUACAAGAAAAAUAGUUUUUUUUUAAUGAAAAUACCUUUCGAAAUACGCAAAUGGUCUCAGAAAACUCAAUUUUAAAAAUUCAUGUCGUUCUGUUGUAUUAAAUCGCAUUAGGAAAACAAAAUUUUGGAUGGGUCGUCAAGAAAAAAAAAAUAUUUUCGACAAAAAUGCUGUCAGAAAUAACAUCAUAUUCCCUAGGAAAUAAUUCCUACAGAGCCAAUGCCAAAUGAUUAUAUAGUUCUAGCUAUAUUUACCGAUGGCAAUAGCAUUCACUACUAGAAAAAUGGGCUUUACUGACACCAAUUCAGUGUCAGUAAUAACUUUUACCGACACUUGUUAAUUGUGUCAAUAAUGCUCCAGCCAGAACACACUGACACUAAUUUUUGGUGUCAGUGAUUUUCGUGUCAGUAAUUCGUGUUACUCUAGUAUCACUAAAAUAAUAACACUAUGGCGUUAGUACUUAAUGAUACUAUUUACAUGUCAGUAAUUCAUGUCACUAUAGUAUCACUAAAAUAAUGAUACGAAGUGUAAACAUUUAAUGAUACUAUUUACAUAUCAAUAUUUAAAAUUGAGUCAGUAUUUAGUGAUGUUAUGCUGCUUUUGGUUAGUAAUAUAUUUUUAUUUUAAUUAUAUUUUUCCAAUUUGUUUUACAAUUAAAAAAAUAAAUAUAUCAAAUCUCCCAACACAAUUCACAUAAUAAAUAUCCCAAAUACAUCACUUAAAUUAACAUAAUUCAACUACAUCAUUGUUUGGAAAAAAAAAAAAAAGAACAUAAGUAUCAAAUUAAGUUUUCGACAAGUUUUAAGCAACAAAGUACUAAAUUCAAUUUCAACGAACAUUAACCAACAAUAAUAAGCACAAGAAUGUACUGAAUAUCCAUACGUGGCUUCAUUUUUUUCCCCCACCUACAAGCAAAUAAAAUCAAUUAGAACACCACAAAAAAUAAGUCUUAGAUAUUUGGAAGCAAAAGUGGUCCUAAAUUACUCAUAUAUUACCUCACGAUUGUAGGCUUUAAUUAACUUGGCAACAUAUGUAGCCUAUUGAUCACCCAGUUGCGAGAGCUCUUUCAUCGCGUACUCAUCAAUUCCCUUGAACUUUAAUUUCAAAACAAGAAGUUAUUUGCCAAAAGUUAAAUUGUAAACUUCUUAAUUAUCAUUCAUUUAAAUAUAUCAAUGUGAUAACAAUUCAAAACACUUUAUGCACUUGAAAUGAACUCCAAUAAUGUUACUCUUCUAUCCAAAAUUAUACAGGCAAACACUAAAUAUCUUGAAAACCAAGCUAAUAAGAAAAAUUUUUCAACAGUGUUGAUCUACAUUAUUAUAUAGUAAUGUUUGAAGCCGAAGCAACUUGUGAACAUCAACACUAACCACUUUAAUGCAAAUGUGGAUGUAGAUAUAAAACCUCAAUAGGUAUAUCUUCAUCAAAGUGAAGUAAAAGCAACAAUAUUGUAACAUGUUGCCAAUAAUAACAACUUUGCAACAAACCCAUUAAAACGUAAGCGAGUGAUGAGCAGUAGAAGGUGGACAGGUAAAAGUAGAU
rnacentral:lncRNA from 1 species